rnacentral:lncRNA from 1 species
CUUUUUUCAGAUACGUAGUAAUUUACAGAUGGCUUGCUGUUAUCACUGCUUAGGAAAUUAUCCUGUAAGUAAUUUUUUAAAUAAAGAUUUGGACAAAAAAUUGUGUCAAAUUUAAGGUUAGAACAUGUAGUUUAAAAUGCCAGCUGACGACUACUUUUGACUUAAACCAGCAUUGUUCAGAAGUUUGAAAGCUGGAAUUGCAUCUAGAAGUGCCAUAUCAUGUUUCUUGCAUUUAUUGUAUCUCUGCUCAAACUCAAUCAUAUACUGUGGAUUCAUUCAUUAUUAUUUGUUGAAUACCAAUUUUUGUGGAUUUCGUGGGUACAUUUAAAACAAGAAUUCAAAUGUUUAACAAACCGAAAUUUUCUAAAGGUUUGUAUGCAGACUUUGGCAAAACCAUGAAAUCAAAUAUCCACGAAAAUGCAGAUGUUCAUCAAUCCAUGAGAAUUGGUACCACCUAUGAAAAUAAAUGAACCCACAGUAAUCAAAAAUGCUUUCAUCAUCUCCUCUGUGGAACUAAUCUAAUAUAGUAUAAGCACCAUAAGCCUGAUCUAUCUUACCUUCACAAAAAACUUGUCCAACUCAGUUAUCAGCUUAUCUACUCUUUCAUCAACAUUCAAAUCACUGAGAUCUACUUUUAGGGCUACUUACCUUGGUUUUCCUUGUAAUGACAAAGCUAAAGCCAAACCUCUCUUCUUCUUGCCAAGAUCAGUCAUGAGUUGCCACAUUUAUACGUCAACUUCCUGUUUACCGAACACUUGCAUAUUUUUACACUAUUAAUAUUAUCCACUUGUGGCGGGGGUAUCAUCAGUGAGCAGUAGCUCGUAGUUUCACUUGUUUUGUCUAUUAUAAUGUCUUUACUAAACUAUAUAUUAACUAAACCCAUAGUAACAUGUACCUGAAAACAAUAGAAAAAAAUAAUAGAAAACACAAUAGUUACCAAAGGCAACCCCACAAACAGCAAUCACUGAAUUUACAUGCUCCUUACUUGGGACAGGCACAUACAGAAUGUAGGAGGAUUAAACAUUUUUGCUAAUCCCCCCACCCUCCCCCUAACCAAGAACAGUGGUGUUACAGUACAAUAUAUGAACAAACUAUAAAAAUCAGUUGAAAAGGCUUUACAAAUCAGAUUGUAAUGUUAAAUUCUCUCUUAUUAUAAGUAAUAGGAUAACUAUAUUUGGUAUGUGCGUACCUUGCAAGGUCCUCAUGCCCGUCAGACAGUUUUCACUUGACCUCAACCUCAUUUCAUUGAUCAGUGAACAAGGUUAAGUUUUGGUGGUCAAGUCCAUAUGUCAGAUACUAUAAGCAAUAGGUAUAAUAUAUUCAGUGUACAAUUUGGAAAUUAGUAUGGCGUUCAUUAUCACUGAACUAGUAUAUAUUUGUUUAGGGGCCAGCUGAAGGACGCUUCCGGGUGCGGGAAUUUCUCGCUACAUUGAAGACCUGUUGGUGACCUUCUGCUGUUGUUUUUUCUGUGGUCGAGCUGUUGUCUCUUUGACACAUUCCCCAUUUCCAUUCUCAAUUUGAUUGAUACAAAGCAGAAAAACAACUAAAAAAAACACAGACUGGACGUGGCUGUACGUAUAGAUUAUAACAUGCCCUUUUCCAUAUUGGCCCUGGUAUCAACCUGAGACUCCCAUAUCGGCCUCGAGGCUUUAGCCGAGGGCCUAUAUGGGUCGAGGGAUGAUACCAGGGCCAAUAUGGAAAAGACAUGUUAUAAUCUUUUUAUCACAUAUUAAAUUUCUGCAGAAAAGAGAAAAAGGGUCAAUUAUAACAAUUUAAUGAAAGAUAAAAGGUAAAAUCUUAAACAUUUUAUCACAAACGUAUCGUUCAGGACGCAGUGACGUCACAUCAUUUAGAAUCAGGGCACAAUAUCAAUAUGCUCUUUUUUGCCCCGGGCAAUUUUGAGGUUAUUGCAUAUGCAAAACCAGACGUAUUCGUAACAAAUAUGUGAUAAAUUUAUAUAUUCCCACAACAAACAAAACAAUAAGUACAGAUCUUAGAGUACUUGCAGUUACUGACAGUUGCUUUGAACUAGCUAUCAGUAUCAUGAGUACUAUUAUAUGCUAAUUGAACUUUACAUUGAUCUGAUGAGUCAAGCUCCUAAAUUUCAACUGAAUUUUAUUUGAUUUAUUAAUUUCUCAUUGUUAUAUAUUUUUUCAUGUCAGGUCUUUUUUUUAGUUUGCUUUGAUUUACGGGUUUUGCUCAUUUUUGGAGGCUGUACAGUGACCUAUAGACUCUAACAUUUACAACAUUUGGUCUUUGAUAGAUAUGUGUCUCGUUGGCAAUCUUUCUUACCAAUUCGCCUUAUUUUACAUAUAUAUUGUCGUAAAAUGUGUUAUAUGAUGACUUUAAUAAGUGAUGUUUGUUAGAGUUGUAAUGUAUUGAAUGUGAAGUUUUAUUUGCUUUAUAUUUGAUUAGAAAGUCUGUGAACUGGUGCUAGAUACAAUAUCAGGAUUGCAAGACAGUAAUCCAAGCAACAUAACAGAUCAAUCCCAGAUUAAUGUUCCUGAAGGCUGUUCACGCCACCUUGUGUUAACGUUGUGUAAAGAAUCACAGAUUUUUCCAUAUUGUAUUAAGUUAUUAGUUGCGUCUUUGAAGGUAAGGUUAAUAAGAGAAUGCAUUCCAUUUGUCAGGAAAUAUCAGUAAAACAUGAGAAAGCUUAAUCCAGACUUACCAGUAUCAUUUAUACAGAUUGCAGAAGUUAACUACAUUUUUGCAGGUUUUUUGUCGAGCCUGCGACUUUUGUCGCAGAAAGCUCAACAUAGGGAUAGUAUCCGGCAGCUGCAGCGGGGUCGUUAGCUAACUUCUUAAAAGAUGGGAGACCUGGAUGCUUCAUACUUUGUAUAUAGAUGCCUCAUGUUACAAAGUUUCCGUCAGUCACAUGUUCAAUGUCCUUGACCUCCUUUUCAUGGUUCAGUGACUACUUGAAAAAAAAGUUAAGAUUGUUUGUAAUGUUAAAUUCUCUCUUAUUAUAAGUAAUAGGAUAACUAUAUUUGGUAUGUGCGUACUUUGCAAGGUCCUCAUGCCCGUCAGACAGUUUUCACUAGACCUCAACCUCAUUUCAUGGAUCAGUGAAAAAGGUUAAGUUUUGGUGGUCAAGUCCAUAUGUCAGAUACUAUAAGCAAUAGGUCUAGUAUAUUCAGUUUAUGGAAGGACUUGUAAGGUGUACAUGUCCAACUGACAGGUGUCAUCUGAUCUUGACCUCAUUUUCAUGGUUCAGUGGUUAUAGUUAAGUUUUUGUCUUUUGGUCUGAUUUUCUUAUACUGUAUGCAAUAGGUCUACUAUAUUUAGUGAAUGGAAUGAUUGUAAUGUGUACAUGUCUAGCUGGCAGGUGUCAUCUGACCUUGUCCUCAUUUUCAUGGUUCAGUGGUCAAAGUUAAGUUUUUGAGUUUUGGUCUUUUUUCUAAUACUAGGUAUAUGUCAACUAUAUUUGGUACAUUGAAAUAUUUUAUGAUCUAUAUGUCAGUCGCGCAGGUUUUAUUUGACCUUGACCUCAUUUCAUGGUUCAUUGCUCAGUGUUAAGUUUUUUUGCUUUGAUCUGUUUAUCUUAAACUAUAAGCAUAUAGGUCAACUAUAUUUAUUGUAUGGCAGAAUUGUUAGCUGUACAUGUCUGUGACGGUUAGAUUUAGGACUAUUAAAGAAGGCGAGACAUUUCAGCGUGUGCACACUAGUUAGACAAUAACUUGUUUAAGUGUAUGGAUCUCUGAAAUUGUACUACAAGGUUCCUUACCACAAGGAAAAGAUGUUAUUAAGUCUUGGGAUAAUUGCUCUACGAUAGUAGAGGGGCAUUAUGUUUUCUUAUCUGUACGUCCGUUGGUCUACGUCCGUUCGUCUGUCGUAACGUUCGCCAGGAUUCAGGUUUAAGUUUUCGGUCAAGGUAGUUUUUGAUAAAGUUGAAGUCCAAUCAACUUUAAACUUAGUACACAUGUUCCCCAUGAUAUGAUCUUUCUAAUUUAAAUGCCAAAUUAAAGUUUUGACCCCAAUUUCACAGUCCACUGAACAUAGAAAAUGAUAGUGCGAAGUUCAGGUUAAAGCUUUUGGUCAAGGUAGUUUUUGAUGAAGUUGAACUCCAAUCAACUUGAAACUAACUACACAUGUUCCCUAUGCUAUGAUCUUUCUAAUUUAAAUGCCAAAUUAGAAUUCUGAUCCCCAUUUCACGGUCCACUGAACAUGGAAAAUGAUAGUGCAAGUGGGGCAUCCGUGUACUAUGGACACAUGCUUGUUUCCAAUUAUUUUAGGAAUUCAUAUUUGUUUUCAAAAAUUUCAAAUUUUUGAAAAGUCUCGAGAAGAAAUCUUCAAUUGCACAGUAUUGCGCAAUAGAUUUGUAAGAUCUUUGACCACAUUUAUUUUGUGUAAGAAACCUAUAUUAUGUCAAAAAUUUGAUCACAUUCAGAAUUCAAACAGUAUCAAGCUUGAAUAAUGCUUCCAAAUUUGCCCCAACUGUUCAGGGUUCCACCUCUGCGGUAGUAUCAGGCUGCGCUCAGCAAAGCAUUUUAUGUUCAUUAAAAAGGGUGAUUCUGCAGUUUUGGACAAAAACUCAAAAACACUUUCACCAAUUUGCAGAAAUUUGGUGAAUUGUUUAUAUCUAUUGACAUGAACUCCCUUUUGAAUUUUAAAAUUGUUGAUUUUACGUUUCUGAGUUACAGGGUUUUAUUCAUUAAAAAUAAAAAAAUUAAAAUCCAGUUUUCGGACAAUAACUCAAAAAUGCUUUCAGCAGUUUUCAUAAAAGGAAAUGUGAGCUUUUCUCAUCACUUAACGUCCGUCGUCGUCUGUCGUCGUUAACAAUUUUUCAAACAUCUUCUCCUCGGAAACUACUGAAUGGAUUUGGAUGAAACUUAGAUUGUUCCUUAGAUUAUCCUGCACAAAGUUUGUGCUUCGAUUUUUGAUCCAUCAAAAAACAUGGCUGCCGUUACUUAAAAUACAACAUAGGGGUCAAAUGCAGUUUUUGGUUUAUAUCUAAAAAACUAAAGCAUUUAAAGCAAAUCUGACAUGGGGGGUAAAAAUGUUCAUUAGGUCAAGAUCUAUCAGUCCUGAAAUUUUUAGAUGAAUCAAACAACCCAUUGUUGGGUUGCUGCAUGCCACUUAAUUGGUAAUUUUAAGGAAAUUUUGCAGUUUUUGGUCAUUACCUUGAAUAUUAUUAUAGAUAAAGAUAAACUGUAAACAGCAAAAAUGAUCAGCAAAGUAAGAUCUACUAAUAAGUUAAUAUGACCAAAAUUGUCAAUUGACCCCUUAAGGGGUUAUUGUCCUUUAAUGACAAUUUUUCACAAUUUGUUCAUCAUAUUUGCUAACUUUAAAAAAUCUUCUCCUCUAAAACUACUCAACCAAAUUCAACCAAACUUCUUUUGAAUGAUCAGUAGGAUGUAUAAAAUAAGUUUGUGUGUUAUUUUUUAAUUCGUCAAAAAACAUGGCUGAAGGCAUUGUUUACCAGGUGAGCGAUUCAGGCUUUUGAGAGCCUCUUGUUUUUUAUAAGGGAGAUAAUUUGUUACUUCUGGUUUGAAAAAUGGUACUUCCGUUACUAUUUGAAUAUUUACUUGACACUGAUUCCAAAAAUAUCUGGUUCUAUAUACUUUUAUAUUAAUAAAGUACGAAAAAUAGCUACUUCCGGUUUACACAAUGUCACUUCCGGUUGUUUUUUCAAGGUUAGAUGUAUUUGUUGGUUAAUGCAAACAUAUGUACUCCAUGAAAAUUGCUAACUGAUAAAAAAAAAAAAACAAGAAACACUCUUUUUAGCAUUCAAAUGAAACAUUUUGUGUUCAUUAUUUAAUUUAACAAUUAACGAGGAGUGAAAAUAAAUUUUGUUAACGUCGAGCACGAUUGUGUUAUUAUCGCCACCAUUUUGUUUACAUUAAUUACGAAAAGAAGUUCGGUCAACCUCGUCUAUAGAAAAAUAAACAACGUCAAGAACAACUACCAGAAGUCCUUUUGACCAAUCAUAUCAACGUAUUUCUUAAUAUGCAAAUCAAUAAGAAUUAUAUUGAUGAACAGGCACCUUAGUCAAGAAUUGAUGAACAGGCACCUCAGUCAAGAAUUGAAAAAGUGAAAUCAGAAGAUUUAUUUGAAAUGUGGGCUAAAAAUACCAGUCAGGACAGAUCACCAGUGUCAACGUGAUGAUCGUAACUGCAGUUACGAUCAUCACAAUAUGGCGGACACAAAUAUAGGGAUAUUUUAUAGGGCUGAUUUCUCCACUUUAACAGCUUAUUUUCAGAUUUGUAUCAUGUCAAGAAACAUCUUUAUAAGCAUUGCCAUUGAAAUAUUUUUUCGGACCGGAUGGAAAAGCAACAAGAAGAAUGAAAAUCGAGAUACAAAAAAUCACGAUGAUGAUCGUAACUUUUAUUUAUUUUUGUCGAGCCUUCGACUUUAGUCGAAAAAGGGAGACUAAGCGAUCCUACAUUCCGUCGUCGGUGUCGGCGGCGGCGGCGUCCACAAAUAUUCACUCUGUGGUUAAAGUUUUUGAAAUUUGAAUAACUUUCUCAAACGAUCCUGGAUUUCUACCAAAUUUGGACAGCAGCUUGUUUAUGAUCAAAAGAUAGUAUCCAGAAGUAAAUUUUGUAAAAAUAAAAUUCCAUUUUUUCUGUAUUUUACUUAUAAAUGGACUUAGUUUUUCUGCCGGGAAAUAUCAUUCACUCUGUGGUUAAAGUUUUUAAAAUUUUAAUAACUUUCUUAAACUAUCCUGGGUUUGUACCAAACUUGGACAGAAGAUUGUUUAUGAUCAUAAGAUAGUAUACAGAAGUAAAUUUUGUAAAAAAAAAAUCCAUUUUUCUGUAUUUUACUUUUAAAUGGACUUAGAUUUUCUGCCAGGAAACAAUACAUUCACUCUGUGGUUAUAAACUUUUUUAAAUUUUAAUAACUUUCGUAAACUAUUUUGGAUUUGUACCAAACUUGGACAGAAGCUUGUUUAUGAUCAAAAGCUAGUAUCUAGAAGGAAAUUUUGUAAAAAAAUAAAUCUAUUUUUUUGUAUUUUACUUUUAAAGUGACUUAGAUUUGCUGCGAAACAACACAUUCACUCUGUGGUUUAACUUUUUAAAAUUUUAAUAACUUUCUUAUACUAUUUUGGAUUUGUACCAAACUUGGAAAGAAGCUUGUUUAUGAUCAAAAGCUAGUAUCUAGAAGGAAAUUUUGUUUUCUUCUAGUUAACAUUACAUUCAGUGUGCAGUUAAAUUUUUUAAACAUUUAUUACAUAAACUAUCCUGGAUUUUUACCAAACUUGGACAGAAGCUUCUGACAAUCAAAAGAUAGUUACAACAGGAAUAUUUUAUUGAUUUGUUUCCUCAUUUUUGUUGAGCUUGUGAUAAACAGAAAGAGUAGGCGAGACACUGGGUUCCGCGGAACCCUUACAAAUUUUUAUCAACGAUGAUCGUAACUUUUACUUAAGAUGAUCGUAACUGUCUGUUCCAACGAAGCAUUUUCUGAUAAAUAAAGACAAAUAUAGCUGUCUAGUAUGCGAGAAAAUGUACGUUAUCAGCUGAUAUUGUGAUAAUAAUGAGGAACGAUCACUGAGGGUAGGGUAACGUCCUAUUGGUAAGUGCACAAAUGGUUAUGACUUCUCAGGAUUUCGUAUUUAUUUUUUAUCUAGUUCAAUAUUAAAAUGCAUUGGGGGUUAACAACUUUAUAUUGAUUUCAUAUGUUUUAUAUAAAUAAGAUAUUGGACAGUUCAUAUUAAUGACCAGUUUGUUAAAAUAGAUUUUUUUUCAUCCCCCCCCCCCCCCCCACACACACACACACACACUUUACAUAAAUAGCCAACCCAUGGUAAAUAUAGGUAACAGUAGUCCAAUGGCGUAUCGAGAUUUUCAUAAAGGGAUGGGGGACUGGCUGCCUAAGAGUAGGCCCAUUAUACAAUCAACCAAAUUUCCCCCACAAAAAAAGGUGAUGCGAGCACCUUGACCCUCCCUCUAAGUCUGGCUCUGUAGUCUACCAAUGUUUAAUAGUCAUAGUUUGAUUAAAAAAAAAAAAGGCCAGGCAACAAUUUAAAACUGAUAGAAAGUCAUCAAAAUAAUGUAACUUCAUGCUUUCCUUUACUUUAUUAAGUGAAAGUUUUGGCCUGUAUUCUUAAACUGUAUCAUGAAAAUGAUAUUUAUAUCAACUUCAUAUCAACGUAAAUCCAUUUUGAAUGUUAUAACUAAAUUACUCAUAAGAAAAUAAUAUUGAGGACAUUUGCAUAUAAGUCUGCUAAUCCCCUUAUGUCAUUUCUUUUUAGAAUAGUGGUUUUCAUUUAUUCUUUGUUUAAUUUUAAAAUCAUGAUAAUUUUAUUUUUUGUUCGUAACUGCUAAAUAGGGUGUUCAUUUAGUAAAAACAAAACAUUCAUAAAUUUUGAGUUACGAUCAUCUUUUUAUAAAAACAAGUCAAAGUUAUGAUCAUCUAUAGACGAAGUUACGAUCAUCAUCAUGAUUUUUUUAAUCUCGAUUUUCCUUCUUCGGAUUGUUUUUUUAUAAUUUAUGAAAAACACAUUCAAUGGCAAAAAAUUAAUGCUUUUUAUGGUGUAUGGAUCUCUCAGUUUUUUCUCCUCAAGAUUUCAGAAAUUAAAAAGAAAAUUUCUUCAAAUUUUUUUUUUGCAAAAAAUUGGGGUAAAUUUUAAUUACUGUAUUUAUUUAUUUUUAUUGUUUUCAAUUCACAACAGCAUAGUGUAUUGCACAAAAGCAAAAAAUGGAAUAUAAAUUCAAAUCAUAUUACCGAUUUUAAGUUCUUUGACUACAGUUAUUCUGUGUCAUAAACCUUUUAUGUUUCAAAUAUUUGAUUACAAUCCAAAUUCAGACCUAAAUGAAGCGUGAAUAUUGUGUCCAUUUUUGCCCCAACUGUUCAAGGUUGAACAUCUGCGGUCGUAUCCAGCUGCGCUCUUGGAAGCAAUUUAUUUGUUAUUAUCUUGAAUAUUAAUAAUGAUAAACAGAAAAAAUGUUCAGCAAAGUAAGACUUAAAAAUAAGUUUUUUGAUCAAAAUAGUCAAUUGUCCCUUUAAGGAGUUAUUGCCCUUUAAAGAAAUUUUCAUAAUUUGUUCAUCUAGUUAAAAUUCUUCUCCUUUGCAGCUGCUGAAUUAAUUUCAACUAAACUUGGGCUGAAAGAGUUGAGUAUCUAGUAUAAAUUUUCUAUUUUAUUAUGCCCCACCUACGAUAGUAGAGGGGCAUUAUGUUUUCUGGUCUGUGUGUCCAUUCGUUCAUCCGUCCGUUCAAUCGUCCGUCUGUUUGUUCAUCUGUCUGUCCAUCGGUUCCCCUUCAGGUUGAAGUUCUUAGUCAAGGUAGUUUUUGAUUGAGUUGGAAGUCCAAUCAACUUGAAACUUGUACACAUGUUCCCUAUGAUAUAUGCUCUUUUUAAUUUUAAUGCCAAAUUAGAGUUUUAACCCAUAUUUCACAGUCCACUGAACAUAGAAAAUAAUAGUGUGUGUGGGGCAUCCGUGUACUAUGGACACAUUCUUGUUUACUUGCAUAUCAAGAAACAUAGCCACUAUGGCUAAAAUGGAACAUAGGGGUAAAAUGCAGAAGAAAAUAUGACCGCUACAAAGAUCAUAUUUAUAUCGAAUUUUUAAGCCAUUCAUUAAUAUAUAUUGAAAAGCAAAAUCAAGUUGAUGGAAGAUUUAAGCAAAAAUUAACAAGUGAGCGAUUCAGGCUCUUGAGAGCCUCUUGUUUGAUAGAAUAUGAUAAACAAUUUGUAUAAUAAUAUUGAAACAUUGUUAAUGAUAACAUUGACAUUAAAGCAAUCGAAUUAAAAAAUGUAUGAACAAAAUUGUAUUUAUUAACCACAAUUUGGAUAACAAAAUGAAGUCAUUUUGUACCAAAAAAAUGCAAUGCCUUAUUUGUGUGAAUGCCCUUUGAUGACAAUUUUUACCAAUUUUUGCCUGAAAUAUUACAAUAGAGAAAUAGAAACUUAAAUAAGCAAAAAUGAUCAACAAGUUAAGAACUACAAUUAAGACUAUAUAGAGGAAAUCAUCUGACGACAAGUUAUUGCCCAUUAAUUAUGGUUUUCACCAUUUUUUGGCAUUUUGCCUUAUAUGAUAAAAAUUAUAAAAAGAUAAAUUGACACUUAAAAUCAGAAAAAUGAUUAUCAAGUCAAAAUCUACUUUCAAGUCAAAUAUUGCUUAGUAGACACUAUUUAAAACAGUGAUUGCCCUUAAAUGAGUAUUUUUAUGCCCCAUUUAUGGACAUUAUGUUUUCUGGUCUGUGCGUCAGUGUGUAUGUCCAUUCUGUCCCACUUCAGGUUAAAGUUUUUGGUCGAGGUAGUUUUUGAUGAAGUUGAAGUCCAAUCAACUUGAAACCAAGUACACAAAAACUGUUCCCUAUGAUAUGAUCUUCCUAAUUUUAAUGCCAAAUUAGACUUUUUUCCCCAUUUUCACAGACAAUUUUUUUUAAAGGCAGUGCUUUAAGGCCUGACUUUCAAGUCAUGAGGUUCAUCUUUCCUUACGCAAAUCUUUGCUGGGGGUCAUUUUGCAAGAAAUAGAUCCGGAAAUGUUUAAAUUUCUCCUCUACUUUUUGUGGUAUGUAUUGGUUUUUGUUCCUUUCAUUUACAUUGGGAAAUAAAGAAACGAUCAGUGUGUAUUGUUCGUUUUAAAAAUCUGUUUAUUAAUGUGUCUUUUGCAUUAUAAGCAGUCAAUCUGAUUACAAACUAUCAUUAUUCGAAUUCCGUGUGGAAAGAGGUCCGUUAAUUUCGAGUACUAUUUGCGAUCUAAAGAUAUUUUAAAAUCAUUUCACUCGUUGAUAUAACAUGAUAUUAUAAUUAAAAGUCGACUGACCGUGAAUUAUAUUGCAUAAUAUACAAUUUAAAGUAUUUCUGUACGUGAAGCCGUAUGACGUUAUAGUUAUUUCGGUCUCAGUUAUGUAAAAUAUGAAAUUAUCGUUCCUGAAUAGGGUUCCACUAAUUAAAGACAAGAAGCGUCAAAAAGUGAUAAGAAGCGACAAUAAAAUUAAAAUAGCGAUAAGAAGCGACAAUAUAAUUAAUUUAGCGAGAAGAAGCGUCAAGAAGACUAUAUAGCGACUAUACAUAAAUAAAAAAAAUGUCAUUGCAACAACUUAUUCCCCAUAGAUAUUAAAAAAAAACAUGCAUUAUUUUUUAUUAUAGGGGCGGUUAUAAAACAUUUUUUAUAUUAUUGUACAUUGAUAGAUAAAAAUAUGUUUUUAUUAAGAAGAAAGGGAUAAGUUUUUAUUAGAUAUAAAAAAAAAUUAUUUUAUGCACACGCUAAAAAUUGGCCAUCAAAACAAAAAAAAUUCAAUUUCCUUUUAAAGAAUUUAUUGAAUCAAAACCAUGCAAUAUCAUUUCCUUUCUAACAGUGAAAUUCUUCUUUUUCAUAGGGACAUAUUUGAUAGGUGUAACUUCACCCUAUCACAUCAAAUGAGAAUAGCCUCGUGAGAGAAUUACGAUUCGCUUGUCCCUUGUUAGUUAUUGUCGCUUCGUCACUAAAUUAAACUUCUUGUCGCUGUUUGUCUCUAAAAUUCUUCUUGUCUCUUAUUAGUGAGACCAGUCAGUUCCGUCCUUAACUUCCGUUUUUGCACUGCAAAACAAUCACACAAUUAACGAUGCCUAGUCCUUGUUGGUGUGUACCUGAUCGUCAUUUAAGAGGAGGACUUGCAUUUCUAAAUGACUUAAUAAGAAGGAAAAGUUGGAUCAACGCCAUGGCUCAAACGUAGAUUGUCAUGUGCGAUGCAAUCGUAGAACCCAUAUCAAUCAGCUGUUGUUUGCAAGGCACAUUUUACUGAAAACGACUACGUUCAGGAAACUAUUCAUGGUAAAACUUUAUUUUCUUUAAGAAAUAUAUACUGUUAUUUAUAUAAUCGCCAUGCAAGUAAACCAAAGUCUGUUUGCAACCGCAAUUAUCGUUUUAGAAUAAAAAGGGGGGUGAAUUCAAGACGUCAUAACUUUUGGGAUUACGAUUCAAUAUCAUCUGUUUGACAUUUUUUGGUUAAUACUACAAUUGUAUGGUUUUUCUACAAGAGAUAUAUUAGGCCAAUUAAAAUUAAUUGAUAGAUUUUCAUCCCCGCCCGCCCCUUUGAAAUCUUCCCGCCCCGAUUUUUUUUAUUUUUGAAAAAAAUUACGAUUUCCGGAUUUUGUUCAUUUCCGUUACCGGAAACCGUCGAUAUUUCGUUUCGUGUAAAACUUCCUGUUGCAAAUUUCGGUUUUUGUAUUUCUUAGAGUAUUCUAACUGGAUUAUUAAGGUGGUAUGGGUGUCUAAAAUAAAAAUGAUAGAAUUUGUUCAUACUUUGCCAAAACGUAGUAUCUAUUGAUAUAUGUUGGAAAAUAUAAUAAAAAUGAUAGGUCACCGUGCAUUUUCUCAAGCUACAGUAUCAAAAGAAAAGAUGGGGUCACCGUACGUUUUUUCCGGCUAAAAUACAAAAUAGGAAAACUUCAUGUAGAAUCCUUCAGAAAAUGCAUUGUUUUAGAGUUACCUCCCCUUGAAAUGCCAAUUUAAAAAAAAAUUAAAAACAACCAAAACUAAUCAACAUUUACAAAAAUAUUAAUAUUUGUAUGUUAUAUUCCUAUAAAUUGGUUCCUUUAAAUGAAAAUCACAUUAAAUAUCUGCAUUCCUGCAUCCCAUUUUGCUAUUUUGAUAGAAAAUAUGGACCUUUGGUUCUCUUACAAUCCAAGAUGGAGGAAGACACCCAUACCACCUUAAGUCCAUAUAUUCUGCUGAUCUAUGAUGACAACAUCAUUUACCGAGAAUAAACUAAAAGAUUGAUCACGAGAAAGGCGUGAAAUAUUCGCUGUACACUAUGUCACAAAUGACAAAUUUAUGUUUGUGAGUAAACACCUUGGAUUUAGUUUUAUUUAUACAAUGACUUUGUGUCAAGAAAUUUGGACUGUGAAAGAAACCCAAAAGCAUCAGAAUUGUGGAACACAUUGACUGGAAUAAAGAAAUUGACACAAGCAUGGACUUUUUAGAUUAAUGACCGGUAUUAUUGAGUUCAGAAAGUCGACAAACAUACGCAUUUUUUAAUUUAUUAUUUACAGCAAGCUCUUAGAAAUAAAUUUAGCCAUGCCUUUCGUUUUUUGUUAAAAAAAACACAGCAAACAUCCUCUGUCCCUAUACCAGAUGGAGUCAUUAAACAACUCUGUUCUACAUUGUAAUUAUAUUUUCAUCUUGCAUAUUUUAAAGGACCAACCCUAUUAUUUCAACACUGUUUGAGUUUUCAUUUUAUUCUGUACUUAUCGUACUCGUGUUGCAUACCAAUGGAUUUGCUUCAUUUUAUUAGGACAACAACACAUAGCUUAGAAAGCAAAAUAUAUUUCAUGACGUAGGUAGUCCAACUGAAGAGAGCAUUUCCUCACAUUUCUGAUGUUUACUAUAAAAUAGGUUUCUAAAGCAGCAAUUACAUGUAGAACAGUGGGUUGCCAAUCAGAGAUAUAUAUUUACGAAUUUGAAAAAGCGGCACCAGCAUAUGGAGUAAAUGUGUUUCAAUAUUGAUACGUUACUCUAGAGUUAGCUCAAAGUACAUGUACGCUGAUUUUGUUGAACCAGGAAUACUGCUUUCUCAAAAGUUGCUAAGACAGGGCUAUUAAUCAUCAAAUUAAGGUCAUCACUCAAUUUUAUGGUUGCCAUCAUGAGCUGAUUGGCCAUAAUGACAAAAGUGUGUCAGAAAUCAUAUCUCAGUGAUAUUCUUCCUCAGUCAUAACAACCUUCCAUCAUUACCGAACUGAACAAAAAAAUAACAUGACGGGUGCCGUAUACGGUGCCAAGAAAUGCUUGCCUUUCCGGAGCACCUGAUUCAUUCCUGGUUUUUAGUGGAGUUUGUGUUGUUUCCUACCAUGCCUACUUAGUACUUGUAACUGUUGGUGUAAAUGUCUUUUGGUUUUAAGAGUCUUUGGUUACUCCUUUGUUUUGAUUGUUAUUGUCUUAUACAAGAUACCUAAUGCAUGUAUUUACAUGAUAUAAGCUUAUUAUUACACUUGCAUAUAUGAUCGAAUAACACGUGACAAGAAGGUUUCAUAUGAAAUAAAUUUAAAAAAUAAAAUCCUCCCACCCGCCCCAUUUUUUUCAAAAACUUGGAUGAAAAUCUACUAAUUAAUUUUAGUUGGCCUUAUACUGAUAAUUAUUAGCUCACCUGGCCUAAAAGGCCAUGUGAGCUUUUCUCAUCACUUGGCGUCCGUCGUCGUCGUCGUCGUCGUCGUCGUUAACAAUUUUUCAAACAUCUUCUCCUCUGAAACUACUGAAUGGAUUUGAAUGAAACUUAGCAUUAUUGUUCCUUAGAUUAUCCUGCACAAAGUGUGUGCUUCGAUUUUUGAUCCGUCAAAAACAUGGCCGCCGUUACUUAAAAUAGAACAUAGGGGUCAAAUGCAGUUUUUGGCUUAUAUCUCAAAAACGAAAGCUUUUAGAGCAAAUCUGACAUGGGGUAAAAAUGAUCAUUAGGUCAAGAUCUAUCAGCCUGAAAUUUUCAGAUGAAUCAAACAACCAUUGUUGGGUUGCUGCCACUUAAUUGGUAAUUUUAAGGAAAUUUUGCAGUUUUUGGUCAUUAUCUUGAAUAUUAUUAUAGAUAAAGAUAAACUGUAAACAGCAAAAAGAUCAGCAAAGUAGAUCUACAUAAGUUAAUAUGACCAAAAUUGUCAAUUGACCCCUUAAGGGGUUAUUGUCCUUAAAUGACAAUUUUUCACAAUUUGUUCAUCACAUUUGCUAACUUUAAAAAAUCUUCUCUAAAACUACUGAAUGGAUUUGGAUGAAACUUAGCAUGAUUGUUCCUUAGAUUAUCCUGCACAAAGUGUGUGCUUCGAUUUUUGAUCCGUCAAAAAAACAUGGCCGCCGUUACUUAAAAUAGAACACAGGGGUCAAAUGCAGUUUUUGGCUUAUAUCUCAAAAACGAAAGCAUUUAGAGCAAAUCUGACAGGGGUAAAAAUGUUCAUUAGGUCAAGAUCUAUCAGCCCUGAAAUUUUAAGAUGAAUCAAACAAACCAUUGUUGGGUUGCUGCCACUUAAUUGGUAAUUUUAAGGAAAUUUUGCAGUUUUUGGUCAUUAUCUUGAAUAUUAUUAUAGAUAAAGAUAAACUGUAAACAGCAAAACUGAUCAGCAAAGUAAGAUCUACAAAUAAGUUAAUAUGACCAAAAUUGUCAAUUGACCCCUUAAGGGGUUAUUGUCCUUUAAUGACAAUUUUUCACAAUUUGUUCAUCACAUUUGCUAACUUUAAAAAAUCUUCUCCUCUAAAACUACUAAACCAAAUUCAACCAAACUUCAACUGAAUGAUCAGUAGGGUGUAUAAAAUAAAGUUUUGUGCUUUAUUUUUUAUUUCGUCAAAAAACAUGGCCGUCAUGGCUAAAAAUAGAACACAGGGUAAAAUGCAGUUUUUGGCUUAUAUCUCAAAAACUCCAGCAUUUAGAGCAAAUAAGACAAGAAGUUAAAGUAUUUAUUAGGUCAAGGUCUACCUGUCCUGAAAUUUUCAGCCGAAUUGGGUAACUGGUUUUUCAGGUAUAAUGCCCCUGAAUUGAUGAUUUUAAAGAAAUUUUGCAGUUUUUGGUUAUUAUCUUCAAUAUUAUUAUAGAUACAGAUAAACUGUUAAUAGCAAAAAUGUUAAGCAAAGUAAGAUCUACAAAUAAGUCAAUUUGACCAAAAUUGUCAAUUGAUCCCUUAAGGAGUUAUUGCCCUUUAAAGACUUUUUUCACAAUUUGUUCAUCAUGUUGACUUAAAAAAUCUUCUCCUUUGAAACUGCUGUAUCAAUUUUAUGCCAAACAUUAAAACAUUAGGACAUAUUCAAAGACAUUUAAUAAUGAAAGCCAAAAUAUCAUAGAGAUUUAACCAAAAAAAUUUAGGUGAGCGAUUCAGGCUCUUGAGAGCCUCUUGUUUUAGCAGUAAUUAUGUAAAUUUCGGUUGUAAUGACAAGAAUUCAUGAGCUAUAUGCCUCGGGCUUUCUUGAAAAAUAUCAAUGACAAUGUAAACAGGAACAAAACAUUGACAUGAAUGAUGCUCUCCACCUAUGUUAUAGUUAUUUAGGUAUGUGUGUUGCACAAGUCUUUCACAAGUUUCAAAAAAGCUAAUGUUAUAAAACUUUUUUCAGGGCACAUACCCACUUUAUAGAGACUUGUCUACUGCCAUGCAUUCCCAUCCUAUUUUCAUGCACCAUUUGUAAGCAAGAGACUGAAUGGUUUACAAAAUUAAAAAUCAGGACGGUGUCCCGUUAAACCAAAAGAACUAAACUGGAUGAAUAUUGUAGGAGAAAUCUAGAGGAAAGUUUUGAUUUGGAAAAUUGGUUUUCCUGAACAGAUGUACAUUCAUCCUGCAGGAAAGAUUUAUAACUGUCCACCACCAACUGACGAGCUAAUGUUGAGCUUCACAGAUGGAAUUACUCAAACACCAUAAAUGCCUAUGUUUUCAGCACAGAUUUCACAAAUCAUGACACAGCUGUGCAUUUUUAUGCCCCACCUACGAUAGUAGGGGGGCAUUAUGUUUUCUGGUCUGUGCGUCCGUUCGUCUGUUCGUCCGUUCGUCCGUCCGUCUGUCCCUCUUCAGGUUAAAGUUUUUGGUCAAGGUAGUUUUUGAUGAAGUUGAAGUCCAAUCGACUUCAAACUUGGUACACAUGUUCCCUAUGAUAUGAUCUUUUUAAUUUUAAUGCCAAAUUAGAGUUUUUACCCCAAUGUCACGGUCCACUGAACAUGGAAAAUGAUAGUGCGAGUGGGGCAUUCGUGUACUGGGGACACAUUCUUGUUUAUACCUGUUAAGAGUCGAAAACUAAAUAUUAUUUUUAUAUAAAUAAACAUAUAUUGUGUCAUUUUAGAACUUAUAUUUUUCCAAAGGAUGCAUGAAUGAAAGUAGUGAAAUUCAUUUUGCUUUGAUAUAUAGAUUUGAAUUACAAUUGUUCAUGUUAUUGUAAUGCAUAUAAAAAUAAGGAGAUGUGGCACAAUGUAAAUAUAUGAUAUUCUGUGAGUUUAUCAAACUAAAGGGGAUAAGAAAUGGGUAUAAGCAGUUACAGGACUGUACUACUGUACAAUCUCCAACAAUGAGAAAAACUCAUACUGUAAAGAGAAUUUCAUAUUUACAAGUAAGUUUUGUUUUUGCAUUGAAUAAUUUUCUUCUAUUGUCUUAAAAGCAAAUAUGGGAAGUGGUUAAAAUGCUAAUGAGACAGCUUUUAUGGCCACCAGAUGUCAUUGUUACCUUGAUUAAAAACUCCUUUUUAGCUCACCUGACCUGACUCAUCACUUGGUUUCGUCGUCCAUAAACUUUUACAAAAAAUCUUCUCUGAAACUACUGUGCCAAAUUUAACCAAACUUAGCCAAAAUCAUCAUUGCGGUAUCUAAUUUAAAAAAUGUGUGGUUAGACCCGGUCAACCAACCGAGAUGGCCACUAUGGCCAAAAAUAGAACAUACAGGUAAAAUGUAGAUUUUGGCUUAUAACUCUGAAACCAAAGCAUUUAGAGCAAAUCUGACAUAGGGUGAAAUUGUCUCUUCAGUGAAGAUCUAUCUGCCCAGGAAUUUUCAGACAAAUCUGACAACCCGUUGAUGGAUUGCUGCCCCCAAAUUAGUAAUUUGAAGGAAAUUUUGCAGAGUUUGGUUAUUAUCUUAAAUAUUAUUAUAGAUAGAGAUAAACUGUAAACAGCAAUAAUGUUCUGCAAAGUAAGAUCUACAAAUAAGUCAAUAUGACCAAAAUUUUAAGUUGACCCCUUAAAGAGUUAUUGCCCUUUAUAGUCAAUUUUUAACAAUUUUCAUAAAUUUUUGUAUUUUUUGUUAAUUUUUAAAAAAUAUUUUCAACUGUAAAUACUGGGCCAUGUUUAUUAUAGAUAGAGAUAAUUGUAGCACCAAGAAUGUUCAGUAAAGAAAGAUCUACAAACACAUCCCCAUCAUCAAAAACACAAUUUUGUCAUUUUAUAUGUGUCCGUUGUUUAAUAUGCACAUAGACCGUCCAAGGUGAGCGACACAGGCUCUUGAGAGUCUCUAGGUCAUUAAUACAGGUAGAUAACUUUAUCAUGUUUAUACUGAAAAAUAAUUUUGCUUGGAGGGAGAAUUUUAAAAAAGUUCUGUCUUCAAAAGAGUUGACAUGUUACUAUGUACAUUAACCAUUAUGUUACUUGAUGUUCUAGCAAUACACACAGAACGGAGACUAGUCAAUCUUUGUGAAUUAUUUUUCAUAGGAUAGGAGUAAUUGAAUAUGUGUAUAUACCGUAAUAAAUCGUAAAUAAGCCGCAGGUUUUUUUCUCUGUCUUUGUCCCUGCGUGUUAUACUCGGUGCGUGUUUAUGUAAGUAUUAUUUCUGUUUUCAGGACGACGGUGAAAGAAAAAAAUAUCUGGAUUUGUUUUCUGGAGACAGUCAGAUUGUCAAGUGCUUGCAGUGACCUUGAUAAAUUGUUAAUGUUGCAUAUUUUGUUAUGAAUAAAUAAAUAUAUUAACUAAAUCGUUUGUUUUUAUUUCAUUCAAUCAUUGUUGGUUUACAGGAAGUCGAUAACCAUGUGUUUAUCUCUCUCUUNNNNNNNNNNNNNNNNNNNNNNNNNNNNNNNNNNNNNNNNNNNNNNNNNNNNNNNNNNNNNNNNNNNNNNNNNNNNNNNNNNNNNNNNNNNNNNNNNNNNNNNNNNNNNNNNNNNNNNNNNNNNNNNNNNNNNNNNNNNNNNNNNNNNNNNNNNNNNNNNNNNNNNNNNNNNNNNNNNNNNNNNNNNNNNNNNNNNNNNNNNNNNNNNNNNNNNNNNNNNNNNNNNNNNNNNNNNNNNNNNNNNNNNNNNNNNNNNNNNNNNNNNNNNNNNNNNNNNNNNNNNNNNNNNNNNNNNNNNNNNNNNNNNNNNNNNNNNNNNNNNNNNNNNNNNNNNNNNNNNNNNNNNNNNNNNNNNNNNNNNNNNNNNNNNNNNNNNNNNNNNNNNNNNNNNNNNNNNNNNNNNNNNNNNNNNNNNNNNNNNNNNNNNNNNNNNNNNNNNNNNNNNNNNNNNNNNNNNNNNNNNNNNNNNNNNNNNNNNNNNNNNNNNNNNNNNNNNNNNNNNNNNNNNNNNNNNNNNNNNNNNNNNNNNNNNNNNNNNNNNNNNNNNNNNNNNNNNNNNNNNNNNNNNNNNNNNNNNNNNNNNNNNNNNNNNNNNNNNNNNNNNNNNNNNNNNNNNNNNNNNNNNNNNNNNNNNNNNNNNNNNNNNNNNNNNNNNNNNNNNNNNNNNNNNNNNNNNNNNNNNNNNNNNNNNNNNNNNNNNNNNNNNNNNNNNNNNNNNNNNNNNNNNNNNNNNNNNNNNNNNNNNNNNNNNNNNNNNNNNNNNNNNNNNNNNNNNNNNNNNNNNNNNNNNNNNNNNNNNNNNNNNNNNNNNNNNNNNNNNNNNNNNNNNNNNNNNNNNNNNNNNNNNNNNNNNNNNNNNNNNNNNNNNNNNNNNNNNNNNNNNNNNNNNNNNNNNNNNNNNNNNNNNNNNNNNNNNNNNNNNNNNNNNNNNNNNNNNNNNNNNNNNNNNNNNNNNNNNNNNNNNNNNNNNNNNNNNNNNNNNNNNNNNNNNNNNNNNNNNCAAAAAAACAUGGCCGCGUUACUUAAAAAUAAACACAGUCAAAUGCAGUUUUUGGCUUAUAUCUCAAAACGAAAGCAUUUAAGCAAAUCUGACAGGGGUAAAAAUGUUCAUUAGGUCAAGAUUAUCAGCCCUGGAAAUUUUUAAGAUGAAUCAAACAAACCAUUGUUGGGGUUGCUGCCACUAAUUGGUAAUUUUAAGGAAAUUUUCAGUUUUUUGUCAUUAUCUUGAAUAUUAUUAUAGAUAAAGAUAAACUGUAAACAGCAAAACUGAUCAGCAAGUAAGAUCUACAAAUAAGUUAAAUGACCAAAUUGUCAAUUGACCCUUAAGGGUUAUUGUCCUUUAAUGACAUUUUUCACAAUUUGUUCAUCACAUUUGCUAACUUUAAAAAAUCUUCUUCCUCUUAAAACUACUAAACCAAAUUCAAACCAAACUUCAACUAAUGAUCAGUAGGCGUGUAUAAAAUAAAGUUGUGCUUUUAUUUUUUAUUUCGUUCAAAAACAUGGCCGUCAUGGCUAAAAUAGACACAGGGUAAAAUGCAGUUUUUGGCUUAUAUCUCAAAACUCCAGCAUUUAGAGCAAUAAGACAAGAAGUUAAAGUAUUUUAUUAGGUCAAGGUCUACCUGUCCUGAAAUUUAGCCGAAUUGGUAACUGGUUUUUCAGGUAUAAUUGCCCCUGAAUUGAUGAUUUUAAAGAAAUUUGCAGUUUUUGGUUAUUAUCUUCAAUUAUAUUAUAGAUACAGAUUAAACUGUUAAUAGCAAAAAUGUUAAGAAAGUAAGAUCUACAAAAUAAGUCAAUUUGACCAAAAAUUGUCAAUUGAUCCCUUAAGGAGUUAUUGCCCUUUAAAGACUUUUUUCACAAUUUGUUCAUCAUGUUGACUUAAAAAAUCUUCUCCUUUGAAACUGCUGUAUCAAUUUCAGCCAAACUUAGGCUAAAUGAGUUUCAGAGUAUCUAGUAAUUUUAUAUUUCAUUUCCUUGUAGUAGGAACAUAGCUCCUAUGGCUAAAAAGACAAGGAGAAAUGAUUUUUUUUUUGCUUGAAGAAAUAGGACGAUUCAAGACAUUAAAUAUGAAAAGCCAAAAAUCAUCAUGAGAGAUUAACCAAAAAUUAAGGUGAGCGAUUCGGCUCUGAGAGCCUCUUGUUUUAGCAGUAAUUAUGUAAAUUUCGGUUGUAAUGACAAGAAUUCAUGAGCUAUAUGCCUCGGGCUUUCUUGAAAAAUAUCAAUGACAAUGUAAACAGGAACAAAACAUUGACAUGAAUGAUGCUCUCCACCUAUGUUAUAGUUAUUUAGGUAUGUGUGUUGCACAAGUCUUUCACAAGUUUCAAAAAAGCUAAUGUUAUAAAACUUUUUUCAGGGCACAUACCCACUUUAUAGAGACUUGUCUACUGCCAUGCAUUCCCAUCCUAUUUUCAUGCACCAUUUGUAAGCAAGAGACUGAAUGGUUUACAAAAUUAAAAAUCAGGACGGUGUCCCGUUAAACCAAAAGAACUAAACUGGAUGAAUAUUGUAGGAGAAAAUCUAGAGGAAAGUUUUGAUUUGUGAAAUUGGUUUUCCUGAACAGAUGUACAUUCAUCCUGCAGGAAAGAUUUAUAACUGUCCACCACCAACUGACGAGCUAAUGUUGAGCUUCACAGAUGGAAUUACUCAAACACCAUAAAUGCCUAUGUUUUCAGCACAGAUUUCACAAAUCAUGACACAGCUGUGCAUUUUAUGCCCCACCUACGAUAGUAGGGGGGCAUUAUGUUUUCUGGUCUGUGCGUCCGUUCGUCUGUUCGUCCGUUCGUCCGUCCGUCUGUCCCUCUUCAGGUUAAAGUUUUUGGUCAAGGUAGUUUUUGAUGAAGUUGAAGUCCAAUCGACUUCAAACUUGGUACACAUGUUCCCUAUGAUAUGAUCUUUUUAAUUUUAAUGCCAAAUUAGAGUUUUUACCCCAAUGUCACGGUCCACUGAACAUGGAAAAUGAUAGUGCGAGUGGGGCAUUCGUGUACUGGGGACACAUUCUUGUUUAUACCUGUUAAGAGUCGAAAACUAAAUAUUAUUUUUAUAUAAAUAAACAUAUAUUGUGUCAUUUUAGAACUUAUAUUUUUUCCAAAGGAUGCAUGAAUGAAAGUAGUGAAAUUCAUUUUGCUUUGAUAUAUAGAUUUGAAUUACAAUUGUUCAUGUUAUUGUAAUGCAUAUAAAAAUAAGGAGAUGUGGCACAAUGUAAAUAUAUGAUAUUCUGUGAGUUUAUCAAACUAAAGGGGAUAAGAAAUGGGUAUAAGCAGUUACAGGACUGUACUACUGUACAAUCUCCAACAAUGAGAAAAACUCAUACUGUAAAGAGAAUUUCAUAUUUACAAGUAAGUUUUGUUUUUGCAUUGAAUAAUUUUCUUCUAUUGUCUUAAAAGCAAAUAUGGGAAGUGGUUAAAAUGCUAAUGAGACAGCUUUAUUAUGGCCACCAGAUGUCAUUGUUACCUUGAUUAAAAACUCCUUUUUAGCUCACCUGACCUGACUCAUCACUUGGUUUCGUCGUCCAUAAACUUUUACAAAAAAUCUUCUCUGAAACUACUGUGCCAAAUUUAACCAAACUUAGCCAAAAUCAUCAUUGCGGUAUCUAAUUUAAAAAAUGUGUGGUUAGACCCGGUCAACCAACCGAGAUGGCCACUAUGGCCAAAAAUAGAACAUACAGGUAAAAUGUAGAUUUUGGCUUAUAACUCUGAAACCAAAGCAUUUAGAGCAAAUCUGACAUAGGGUGAAAUUGUCUCUUCAGUGAAGAUCUAUCUGCCCAGGAAUUUUCAGACAAAUCUGACAACCCGUUGAUGGAUUGCUGCCCCCAAAUUAGUAAUUUGAAGGAAAUUUUGCAGAGUUUGGUUAUUAUCUUAAAUAUUAUUAUAGAUAGAGAUAAACUGUAAACAGCAAUAAUGUUCUGCAAAGUAAGAUCUACGAAUAGGUCAAUAUGACCAAAAUUUUAAGUUGACCCCUUAAAGAGUUAUUGCCCUUUAUAGUCAAUUUUUAACAAUUUUCAUAAAUUUUUGUAUUUUUUGUUAAUUUUUAAAAAAAUUUUCAACUGUAAAUACUGGGCCAUGUUUAUUAUAGAUAGAGAUAAUGGUAGCACCAAGAAUGUUCAGUAAAGAAAGAUCUACAAACACAUUCCCAUCAUCAAAAACACAAUUUUUGUCAUUUUAUAUGUGUCCGUUGUUUAAUAUGCACAUAGACCGUCCAAGGUGAGCGACACAGGCUCUUGAGAGUCUCUAGGUCAUUAAUACAGGUAGAUAACUUUAUCAUGUUUAUACUGAAAAAUAAUUUUGCAUGGAGGGAGAAUUUUAAAAAAGUUCUGUCUUCAAAAGAGUUGACAUGUUACUAUGUACAUUAACCAUUAUGUUACUUGAUGUUCUAGCAAUACACACAGAACGGAGACUAGUCAAUCUUUGUGAAUUAUUUUUCAUAGGAUAGGAGUAAUUGAAUAUGUGUAUAUACCGUAUAAAUCGUUAAAUAAGCCGCAGGUUUUUUUCUCUGUCUUUGUCCCUGCGUGUUAUACUCGGGUGCGUGUUAUGUAAGUAUUAUUUUCUGUUUUCAGGACGACGGUGAAAGAAAAAAAUAUCUGGAUUUGUUUUCUGGAGACAGUCAGAUUGUCAAGUGCUUGCAGUGACUUGAUAAAUUGUUAAUGUUGCAUAUUUUGUUAUGAAUAAAUAAAUAUAUUAACUAAAUCGUUUGUUUUUAUUUCAUUCAAUCAUUGUUGGUUUACAGGAAGUCGAUAACCAUGUGUUUAGUGUUCAUUUCGUAAACAAAGAAAGAUAACUGUGUCCAUACAGGAUAUUAAUUGUGUAUUUAUCAUAAAUAUGUAGUUGUUAGUUGAUUUAAUGUGUUUUAAUAUAAAAUUUUCUAAUGAAAUAAUAAAGAAAGUGAUUGUGUGUCUUGCCAAUAUUACAAGUUUCUUUAAAUGACGAUGGUGAUGCAUGUGCUUAAAUCGACACUUUAAAGUGCUUCAUAAACAAAGAGAGAUAAUCGUGUUUGAGAAGAGGUACCAAACAGGAUAAAAUACUGAAGAGUAACUGUUUGUCGUUUUAUUGUGUUUCAAAACGAAAUAUCUUUACGAAAUAUUAUUGGAUGUUAAAAUAACUAAAAAAAAAAAAAGAUACUAAUUUUUAUAAUUUAAUCUGUUAAAACAUUUAUUUAUUGCCGUCUUCUUUUAAUCCCCUUGUCAUUGCUCAUAACACUUUCAUUUAAAAAUAGACAAUGACUUGCAAAAAGUAAAUUGUUUUGUUUGUUGUAUUCAUCCAAAUUAAAAUUGAAAAAUGUUUGUUACGUUCAGAACUUCAACUUUUAUUUUAUAGACAACAAUAAAAUUCUUAAGAUUGAUUUUAAUUAAAAAAAAAUCUUGACUUUUGGGUGAACAGUUUUCACACGUGGGUACAGGUAAGUAGGUCAUAAUCAAGGUAAACAAUGGCAGUUUUAUGGCUUGGGUGACCUUUCAUGCAUACAUUUUUAAGAUUAAUUUAAAUCCUUAAUGCCAAUUCAAACAAUAAACAAGCAAUCAAUACCAUACUAACUUUAAUCAAAACAACAAGGUUCAAUGGACACCCAAGCUGUCAACACAUGGCCAUUGUUGACAAAAAAAACAUCAAACGAAACUGGCAUAAUUAAAACAAUGAGAAAAGUAUAAUUAUUUUAUUACGAUUUUUUAUUUUAAUAUGACACAAAUAAAUAUAUUCAAAAAUACUCUCAACUUUCUCACCAAUCUGAAAAUAGAAAUGAAACAAAUUACGGUGUGAGUUACAAAAGGAGAAAAUAUUCAUGACACUAUCAGGUCAGUAGAAUAAAUAUACGUUUUCUUCAGUGUGCGCUUAAUAUUCAGGUGCGUUUUAUGUAAGGACAAAAACAAUCUUCCCCCCAAAAAACGGCCGUGCGGCUUAUAAAACGAUGCGCUUUAAAUUCGAAAAUAUAAUUAAUCAAUAAUUAAAAAUAGUUUUAUUUACAUUAAAAAGGAAAAGUUCUUAUGUCUUUUAAAAAAAUGCAUUUCAUGGCGAGGUACAGAAAAUAUACUGUAAACAGUAGACUAUAGAUAUAGGUGAACAAGGUACAAGAGAACUCUAAAUCUUAAAUACUACAAACCACCUCUGUUCUAUGGAAGAUAAUGAUAUAACUGGACUAGAAAUACACACAACCUGUAAUUAACUGCCUUUACAGCGCUUUCGCGCUUUGAUUAAGAAUUCUAUUCUAGUCUAUAAUGUUGGAGAGUGUCUUUGUUGAAUAUGCAUAUAGUAUUAUAGACCAAGAUGAGCCACAAACUCUUUAGAGCCUCUAGUUUGAACGGGCAAAUGUCCCUGGCAAAAAGCACAAAUGUCCUAUGAAACGUCCUGUGCCAUAAUUUAAUUAACAUAAUUAAGUAACAGCAAUAAAAGAUCUAAAAUGACACAUUUAGAAAAUCAAAAAUGAAGACUCAUAAAUGAAUAUGAUAGAAUAUUUAGAUAUUUUUUUUUUUUUUACAGGAGAAGAUAUUUUCAGGAAAAUGUGAUGAUAUGGCACUGGGUCAUAUGAUUAUAUUGCUGCAGUAUGAUUGGCCAAAACAUACAGAUUUGUUUCAUCAAGUGAUGCAAAAGAUCAAAGCACAAGGCAGUUUAA